rnacentral:rRNA from 1 species
GCAGCCAUGCCGCGUGUGUGAAGAAGGCUCUAGGGUUGUAAAGCACUUUCAGCGAGGAGGAAAGGGUGUAGGUUAAUACCCUGCAUCUGUGACGUUACUCGCAGAAGAAGCACCGGCUAACUCCGUGCCAGCAGCCGCGGUAAUACGGAGGGUGCGAGCGUUAAUCGGAAUUACUGGGCGUAAAGCGUGCGUAGGCGGCUUGUUAAGUUGGAUGUGAAAGCCCCGGGCUCAACCUGGGAACUGCACCCAAAACUGGCAAGCUAGAGUGCGGAAGAGGAGUGUGGAAUUUCCUGUGUAGCGGUGAAAUGCGUAGAUAUAGGAAGGAACACCAGUGGCGAAGGCGACACUCUGGUCUGACACUGACGCUGAGGUACGAAAGCGUGGGGAGCAAACAGGAUUAGAUACCCUGGUAGUCCACGCCGUAAACGAUGUCUACUAGUCGUCGGGAAUCUUGCAUUCUUGGUGACGCAGCUAACGCGAUAAGUAG